ensembl:lncRNA
AUUUUAAAAUUCCUUUAAUAAAACAACAUGCAUUUUUGGUAUUCGUUACCUGUCCUUUAUUUUGACAGACAACUUCUUGGGAAAAUAUAUUUGUCUGUACACUGAUUAAGAAAUUGUUGCGUGUUUUAUAAAUUAUUUUCUUUAGUUAAUAAAACGUGAGGCACUGUAUAAUUUCGUUCCCAUUAUUUAGGCCUAAUUAAAACAAGAAACGAAUAAAUUAAACCUGCACGAUUUAGCUAAAUCAUUGAAAUUCUAAAGAAUGGACUGAUUAAUAAAAACGUCCUCACGAUUAAACUCAAGUUCUCUCAUUAUAAUCACCAAAGUGCAAAAGAUGUAAAAAAGAGCUUCAUUAUUAGGCAACUUCAGUGAUUUUAAAGGGAGCUGCCGUUACUUGCUUACAUAGAAUUUAAGUUAAAAACAAAUAAAAUUGCAGCCGCAUUUAAAUGCAGGUGUGUAAAAUGUCUGCGUGCAAGAUGUGCGCGGUGCGAGUGAUGCUAAAUGUGAAUGCGCAGCAUUUAUUCUUAUUUGUUUUAUCUUCAUUACAAAUCUUGUUUAUUUUGGAUAAUUGCAUGUAAAAAAUAAUUUACGUUGUAAUGCAUAUGCAAAAUGUGAAUAAUUAUUCAUAUUUAAGUGUUUGUGCGAAAAUUAUUAAUGCGCAUGCAGGACAGGGAGGCCCCCUCUAGAUCACUUGAAUUUUUUCCUGAUAAUGAAUUAACCUUAAAUUGUGGUGUCUUUCAUACAUGAGAAAUAUAUCUACAGAAAGCUUGAAAUGUCUUUUAAACGAAUCAAUUCAGAACGAAAGCAUUAUGUAAUCUGUGAAGGUUGUAUUUCUCUUUAAAGGCGCGUUCAUGUGGAGAGAACCAGCAGUGUGAAUUUCAUCUUGCAGCCGACAAGAAAACAUUUGUUUAUUAAUAAAUAAUUAAAAUGUCUCAUUUUUUACAAUUAUUAGGCUACUUCUGCCUGUGCUUUGGGGCAAACUUAAUGCAUGUGCUUGAGCGCGGAAUAUAUUAAGGCUCAUUAUGGAUUAUAGAUGUAAAUGUAAUAUAAACCUGCGAUUAGUUGAAUAGUGACAAAUGAAUGACAAGUAACUAGAAAAAUCUUACAUGGGAGGCAGACCUAUUAAUUAGCCUCUAGACAUCUCUGUUAAAGUUUGUAAAGCAUUUUAUAUGCGUUUGCAUAAAUUAUUCUUUCAGAACGGUCUGUAAUGGAGAGAUACCUUAACACUGAUUUUUCCUCUGAAACACAAAAAUGUUAUAAUGUGCCACCAGGUUAUUUUUAGUUCUCUUCACUUUACAACAAAUCCUUUAAAUUUAACAAAUUUAUCAGAACAGAACAAUAAUUACAAAUAUAUAAUUCUAAUGGAUAAAUAAAACUGCAGUGUGACGAGUGGGGCGGGGCCAAGAGACGUGGGAACGGAGCGAG